UUAUUUUAUUAUUUUUAGGCAACAUGAUUUUGAAAAUUAUCUCUGUUGUCUGUUGGUCAACAAGGAGAGUCGUCACUCCAUAUUUGCAGUCAGGGCUUUCAACGUUGAAAUAGCAAAAGUGAGUGGCGAUACAAACUAAUACAGUGUGGCCUAUUUGUAGACUUGAGUUGUAUGACUUGAGAACCCUUGACCCAAUUACAGAAAGUGUUUGGUCAGGAUCUGAAAUUAGCCACCAAGCGUUAAUUAAGUCCUCGGCAUCGACAAAACCCGAUCGGAACGUAUUGUUGAUUAACCCAUUGAGUGGCAGCACUCUCCACUUGACGAGUAAAAUCGCCUGGUGUUAGACAGGGUAAAAUACUAAACUAGGGUGCAUCAGGGUGCAUUGCCACAUAAAGGGUUAAGAGGAUCGAUGCAUGGGCAGUCUGUUUGGUUAAAUCAUUGAGUAGCAGCACUCUCCACUUGACAAGUAAAAUUGUCCGGCAUUAGAAAGAGUAAAAUACUAAAGUAAGGUGCAUCAGGGUGCAUGCAUUAAGGGUUAAGGGGAUGCAUGGGCAGUUUGUUUUAAGUCCCAUUGAGUGGCAGCACUCUCCACUUGACAAGUAAAAUCGUCUGGCGUUAGAGAGAGUAAAAUACUAAUUAAAAGUAAUGUGCAUCAGGGUGCAUGCAUUGCCACUUAAAGGGUUAAGGGGAUGCAUGGGCAGUUUGUAUGGUUAACCCACUGAGUGGUAGCACUCUCCACUUGACAAAUAAAAUCACCUACCAUUAGACAGAGUAAAAUACUAAAGUAGGGCACGUCAGGGUGCAUGCAUUGCCACUUAAAGGGUUAAGGGGAUGCAUGGGCAGUUUGCUUGCCCAUUGAGUGGCAGGACUCUCCACUUGACGAGUAAAAUACUCUGGCGUUAGACAGCGUAAAAUACUGAAGUAUAGGGUGCAUCAGGGUGACUUUGACGGAUCAUACCAAUUAUUGAGCGUGCAUUGCCACUUAAAGGGUUAAUGAAAUGUUAUUAUUAUUGUAGGCACUGUUUGGCAGUGAGCGAUUAAUAAAUAUGAAUUUCAUCGUUUUCAGAUACGUGACUCCACCACUGUGGAAACGAUUGGCAAAAUGAAGAUACAGUUCUGGAAAGAUACAAUAGAUAACAUUUAUACAAAGGUAGAAUUUAAAUAUUAAAAG